UACGUAGGGUGCGAGCGUUGUCCGGAAUUAUUGGGCGUAAAAGGGCUCGUAGGCGGUUUGUCGCGUCGGGAGUGAAAACUCAGGGCUUAACCCUGAGCCUGCUUCCGAUACGGGCAGACUAGAGGUAUGCAGGGGAGAACGGAAUUCCUGGUGUAGCGGUGAAAUGCGCAGAUAUCAGGAGGAACACCCGUGGCGAAGGCG
rnacentral:rRNA from 1 species